rnacentral:rRNA from 1 species
AACAGGAUUAGAUACCCUGGUAGUCCACGCCGUAAACGAUGUCGACUUGGAGGUUGUGCCCUUGAGGCGUGGCUUCCGGAGCUAACGCGUUAAGUCGACCGCCUGGGGAGUACGGCCGCAAGGUUAAAACUCAAAUGAAUUGACGGGGGCUCGCACAAGCGGUGGAGCAUGUGGUUUAAUUCGAUGCAACGCGAAGAACCUUACCUGGUCUUGACAUCCACAGAACUUUCCAGAGAUGGAUUGGUGCCUUCGGGAACUGUGAGACAGGUGCUGCAUGGCUGUCGUCAGCUCGUGUUGUGAAAUGUUGGGUUAAGUCCCGCAACGAGCGCAACCCUUAUCCUUUGUUGCCAGCGGUCCGGCCGGGAACUCAAAGGAGACUGCCAGUGAUAAACUGGAGGAAGGUGGGGAUGACGUCAAGUCAUCAUGGCCCUUACGACCAGGGCUACACACGUGCUACAAUGGCGCAUACAAAGAGAAGCGACCUCGCGAGAGCAAGCGGACCUCAUAAAGUGCGUCGUAGUCCGGAUUGGAGUCUGCAACUCGACUCCAUGAAGUCGGAAUCGCUAGUAAUCGUGGAUCAGAAUGCCACGGUGAAUACGUUCCCGGGCCUUGUACACACCGCCCGUCACACCAUGGGAGUGGGUUGCAAAAGAAGUAGGUAGCUUAACCUUCGGGAGGGCGCUUACCACUUUGUGAUUCAUGACUGGGGUGAAGUCGUAACAAGGUAACC